AGCGUAUGAAUUGCUGCGACACGAGUCGGACCCGCGACUAAUCACUCGACUCUGCAUGCAGACGCGUGGUUAGUGUCACCCUUCACCUCAGUGUGUAACUCGACGUAGAUCUACAUUGUGAAAAUGGCCAAGGCGUUCAGCCUGCUUCAGUUUGGGCACCAUUCUUUUUUGGGCCCUACACUCCUGACAAAUUCCGAUGCUGAGGAGGUUGAGGAAGAAAUUCAGGAGAUUGAGUGGGAUCGAGAAGAUAUGAAGAAGCAGGACAGUCGUUCUUCUCCAUAUCAAGAUAUGAAGAGGAAGGACAGUCCUUCUUCAUAUAAAGAUACAAAGAGAAGGGACAGUAAAUCCCUCAACAAAACAGAAGAAACAGAUUAUGACUAUUGCUCUGAUUGCACUUCUGAGGAGUCAAACUCCACUUACAGGCACUCAUCAAGGACCUCAAAGCGUGAGCGACAGAAAAGAACCAGUGAAGAUAAGAAACAUCGCUCCACUGCAAAGGUGCUGAAUUGUGAAUGUGCCAAGCUCAAGGAUGCCUUAAAAAAAGAGAGAGAAGCCAGAGCUGCUCUUGAAAAGACUUUGGAGAAAGAGUUGGCAGCUAAAGCUGCUCAAGAGAAAGCACUUAAGAAGAAAAGUGAUGACAGAGCCAUUCUUAAAGAGAAAGUGGAGAGCAUAAAGUCACAAAUGGCAACUCUUAAAGAUUCACUAAAAAAAGAGCAGCGCAACAAUGCAAAACUUAAAUGUAAAGUAGAUGAAAUGGCACAUAAACUUGAGAAGGAUCAGAGUUUGAUCAAGAAGCUCCAGGAAGAUCUGGCCACUUCCUCCAGCUGUCUCAAAGAGCAUGAUAAAAAGGCUCUUGCAGAACUGCAGGAAGUGAAGGACCAGCUCACCCAGCAGCAAAAAGAAAGCUUGGACAAAAACAAUGAAAUCUCGUCCUUGCAUUGCAACAUUCUGAAUCUUCAAAGUGAUAUUGAAGCCAAGGACAAGCUUGUGGAUUCUUGGACCGAGAAAGCCAAACAAUUGGCUUCUGAGGCCAAAGAAGAACGUAUAAAGGUGGUCAAACUCCAGAAGGACAUUGAGGUGGCGCUCUCCCACCAGCAGGAAAAAGCAGAGGAAUUUGAUCGUCUGACACAUAAAAACCAGUCCAUGGUCACAGAAAUUCAGGAACUAACAUCAGCUGUGGAGGCUCAAAAAGCCAAUGCUGCCACACUUCAGUAUAGCCUGAAAAAUGAAGCCAGAGAGCUGCAUUUGCAGAUCCAGUCCUUGCAAAAAGACAUUGGACUCAAAGAUGCACUUCUGAGGCAAAAAGACCAAAAAGUCUCUGAGCUUUCAGAGAAAGCACUAAAGAACAAGACGCUGCAAAAUGAUCUGGGGGCCGCCCAGACUGAGACGCAGCUUGCUCUAAAACAGCUCGAAGAAUCCAGAGCACUGUGCAAUAACCUUGAGGAGAAAAUUGUGAAGUUGCAGAGAGUCUGUAAGAGGGAAAAGCAGAAAAACAAGGAACUCUCUGAGCAGACCCUGGAUCUAGAAAAGAGUCUGACUUCUGAGAGAUUUCUGAAUUCUUCCCUGAAAGAGAAGCAGACACAACUUGAGCUGACUGCUUCGGAGAAUCAGACCAAAAUCAAGGAUUUGACAUGCCUCACUCACCAGCUAGCUGACAGCCUCCAGUCUGAGUGCGCAGUAAAACACAGCUUGAUUUGUGACAUGCAGAAACAGGAGAAGGAGAAUGAAGAUAUGACGGUGAAAUUGAAGGCAAUGGAGAGCAAACACGAGAGCCUCCUGUCUCAACACCGCCUUCUCUCUGACCUACAUAGAGAGCACAUAUCAGCUAAAAACACUAUAGCUGAUGAGCUGAAAGCCUUUCAGUCAGAGAACACGACUCGAAAGACUGAACUUGAAGAUACCCUGAAAGAGAGCAGGACUCGGCAGACUGAGCUUGAAGAUGCCCUGAAAGAGAGCAAGACUCGGCAGACUGAACUUGAAGAUGCCCUUAAAGAGGAGCAGAAGCAUAGCGCCGAGUUCCAGAAGAAAGCCGAUCGGUUUGCAUCUGCUCUCAAAGAAGAAAAGGCGAAGUGUGAAAGCUAUCACACUGAGCUCAAGGAGACUCUGUACAAACAGAUAAAAACAGUGGAGGAGCGUGGACAGUUGACUGUGGCACUGAAGAGAGCAAAUGAGACCUGUUCCAUGCUUCAGCAGCAGCAAGUAAAAUGUUUGACAGAAAUGGCCAUUCAGUCCAGACAGCUCAGUGGCACUGAGCUUAAGUUUAACAUGGAAAAAGCUGCCCUGGAACAGAAGAUAACAGCUCUAAACCAACUGCAAAAGGAGAACCAAGAACUGGGGAGGAAGAACAAGGACCUUCACUCUGAUUAUUGUGACCUGUUUAUGAAUCACAGAGCCCUCCAAGGGAAAUAUGAAAGGCUCAGUGGUGUACAAGACCAGCACCAACCAGAAGUCCAUCUAUCCAUGAGAACCUGCCUCAGCACCCUGACCUGGUAGCCUGGUUGAUGGAAACUUCAGUUGCUAUUACACUACAUGCACUAGCCUACUUGUUUUCAAUUUAAAUAAACAUUUUAAAAAUGUAUAAAUGCAUGCUUUAUGUUGUUUAGAGCAAGUUACUAUUUGGCUUUAGUAUACCUCUAAAAUACCUCUAAAAACAUUUAAAUAUUUUCAAUGUUAACAAGCCGUGUUUUUAAAUUAACAUUUAACCUUUUGUUUUGUUGUAUAUGAUCACAUCUCUUAUGUGUCCGGAUGAGGAAAGAACAAGGCAAGGACAUGAUACCGUAAUGCUUAGAUGAUAACUGAUGAACUACAUUUUUUUAAUAGAUUAAAAUAUUCCUUCUAAUGCAGCGGUCAAGUUCAAGUUUUAUACUUUAUUUAUGUUCAUAAUUAUUUUAUAAAUGUUACUGUCACAGCUGCAAAAAAUAACCUAAGAGGUGC
ensembl:lncRNA